rnacentral:lncRNA from 1 species
UAUUUGAAGAAAACUCCAAACACCCCAAAUAGUAUACCCCCCAAACCAAAAGGUCCUUGUAGUUUAGAAAAUAUUUCACUUUGAUAAAUAAAUCAAUAAAUAAAACAACAUCACGUUAAAAAUAAUUUAAAUAUUAAUAUAUACUUUCAAAAUAUUUUUUUGAGUUAAUUGAGAAAAUCUAUUAUAAGUUUCAAACUUUAGGUGAGUUAAUUAUAAUUUUUAAUGUUAAGAUUUUUUUGUGGUUAACCCCAUAACCUAAGGAGAGGUCAGUGUAAUGUACCCAAAUCCAAUAAUCCUUCUCCGAGUCCCUGGUUCGUCGUCCCAAUGUCAUCGUUAACCCUAGAGAGAGAGACGUCUUGUUGCGGGUCAAAAACGCCGUUCUUCCUUCCCACAAUCACAAGGGCAACCACCGUCUUUCACCGCCAUGCGGGUCACCGCGUUUGCAGCAGACGGGGGUAACCCCUGUCCGUGAUAAUCCUGUUUGUGGGAGGGAUUUGGAAGCCAUUUGGAGGAAAUCAGGGAGACACAAUUGUAAGUCAACCCGGAAGAUGGACAGAGGAGGAGACCAAAUCAGGAAUGGCAAUCCGGGGCCAUCUCCAUAGCCAAAUAGCCUGUAACAGUCCCGUUUGCAGGCAGGAGAUGAUUUUGGUGGAUUUGAAAUGAGGGGGAUUUGAGAGUGGAUUUGAAAUUGAGGGAGGAUUUAUAAUAGGGGGGGCCCCACCUUUUAAGAAGGGGGGAUUUUAUAGUUUAAGUGUUUGGAUGUGUUUUUGAAGAAGGAGAUUUGAGUUGGAUAUGAUGGAAUAAGAUUAAAAAGACAAAAUUACCCCCACUUCCAUUAAUUAGUUGUUAAUAUUAAAUUAAUUUUGUUUUAAUUAGACAAAAUAUAUAUUAUUAAUUGAGAUGAUUAAAAUAAAAAAAUCACUUUAAAUAUUAAUAUAAUAAUUUAAAAUAUAUAAUUUUAUUUAUUUGUUUAAAUUAUCCAAAAUUAAUAUUUAGUAUAUAUUUUCAAACUUUGAGCCUAAAAUAUUAAGUAAUCAAUUUUGAAAUCUUACUUUAAAUUUUUAAUAUUAAUUAUGUAUGAAUUUUUUAAUAUUAAUUAUAAUCGUUUUUUAAUUUUAACUUUGUCUUAAUGGUAAUUAAAAAUAUAUAAAAAGAAUUUAAAUAUAAAAAGUAUUUGAAGAAAAAGUCUAAACACACCAAAAUAAGCAAACACAUACCCAAAAGGUCCUUGUAAUUUAGAAAAUGUUUCACUUUGAUUCUCAUAGUUUAAUUUAAAUAUUACGAUCGUGUUUAUUUCAAUUUGAUUCAUCCAAUUUUAAUUUUCAUUAAUUAAUUUUAAUUUCAUUUAACACGUUGAUUACUACACCAAAAAAGUAAAAUUGGCUCUAUGCUGACAUAGACACCCAAAUUCACCCCAAUUCAUAAAUUUUAUUCACCAAAUUGGAUCCCAAUUUAUGUGAAACCCGAAUAUAUACAUAAAUAAAAAUUAACAUUAGUAAAAAUUAAUUUAAAUAUUUUAUUUUUUUGGUUAAAUUGAAGGUAGCUAUUUUCAAGUUUCAAACUUCAUGGGAGAUAAUUAUAUUUUUUUAAAACAUUAAGGUUUCCUUGUGUAUUAAAUUUAUAACCUCAGGGAGGUUAGUGUAAUUUACCCAAAUAAAAUCGAUCCUCUGGUUCUUCUUCCCCAAUUUUUUUGGUUAGCCUGGGGAGAGAGAGACCCAACCCGAGGGUCUUUCACCACCAACAAUCGAAUCCUUCCCUGGUUCUUCUUCCCAGCACGAGGGCACAACGUCUUUCCACCACCACCGGCGCGCCCGUGACCACGGACGGGGUACCCCUGUCCGUCGUAUGUUCCGGCUAUGGAUGGAUUUGAAGCCGUGGAAGAAAGAAAUCAGGGAGAGAAAGGUUGAACCAACAUGGAGAGACAAGACAUGGAGAACAAAUCUGGAGACUUCCAAAUCAGGGAACAAAUCCGGUGCCAAACAGGGUGUAAAACGUCUCUCUCUUCUCCACAACCACCGCCCACUCUCCCUCACUCGCGCGCGAAGUCCCCAUUCGGGCCGCCCUCGCGAACCUACUCGUCGAAGACGAGCAUCAUGCGGUGAGCAGAGGGAGACGAUCCAUGUUACUGUGCCUGUGACUUCAACCACUGGCUCAUCGUCAUGGAAUUCCCAAAGACCCCGCACUUGUGGGACCAGAUUGAUACAACUCCAACCUGUUGUUCCCUCACGUGAGGCACCUAGUAGCGCUGUGUGAAAAGGAGUCCGAUCAGUCCUAUUCUUUGCAAUUACCUAGCCUGUUGCUAGUUGUUCCUAGUCUUAGCCAUUAUCUAGUUUACUGUUAUUUCCUUGAUUUCCUCUAUUUCAGUUGUUGGCACGUUGUUCUUCUGUUGCUGUAUUGGCUAUAAUGCAGUCACAUGAAACCCAAUAAGGACCUCGAAUUAAUUCAGAUCUCCUCUCUAAUCUCCUCUCUUCUAUUUUUCUCUGUCUGUCUCAUUCUUUCUUCCUUCUUCUCCCAACUUCAACCUACAUUUGGUAUCAGGCCAGGUUGUUUUGCCAUGGAUACCCGUGGGAAGCGACUCUGAAUUCCGCAAUGAAGUGAAUGAGCAAUUAACACGUCAUGAGUCGAACUUCGAUCAAGUGCAUCGACUCUGCGACAGUCCUUGACAGAAUAUACAACCCUGGCUUCCACCAGAAGUUCCACCAUACAGAAGUUAAUUCCCUUGCUCCGGAGGGAUCCUCUCACCAUCCACACGCCAAUCGUCUGCUGCUACCUACAACCGUUCACUCAAGCUUACGGUUUUCCGAAUUCAAUAGAGGGGAAGAUCCAUGGGGUGGAUCUACAAGGCCGAGCAGUACUUUUGAAUACGCAAGGCAUUGAACUAAUCCACGGGUGCAACUCGCCUCUUUUCACUUUGGAGGACCUUGCAUUACGUGGCAUCGUUGUAUAAACACUUUCGGGGCCUCUUACCCUGGGAAAAUUCACUCAAGGCUGUCCUUUGCUUCGCUUUGUCCUACUGAAUUUGAAAGACCCCUCAGAAGCUUUGUCUCAUUUGAAGCAAACUCAACAAUGCUGCUUAUCAAGAGGCCUUUGAAAGGCCUCCCCAUCGGUAGAUAAAUUACCAGAAACUUUUCUAUCGGGAUGUUUUAUUGCAGGCCUAAAGGAUGACAUUCGCUGGAUGUCAGACAAACAACCCCGAACCUUGGCAGACCCAUUGAGGUUGCCCGAUUGGUGGGGAAGAGCGAAACCAGCUCCACGGCGGCCUACCCCUCAUCAAUAGAAUGCAAUCAGGGCCCCCUGCGAGAGUAAACCCCAACCCAUCCACGGGAAUUCUGGGCCAACACCCAGCCAACGCGCAGGAAUGGGAUCCACGUACGCCCUCGCCUUUCCGCCGAAUCACCAAUCAGGAGGCGCGGGAUGCCGAGAGAAAGGCCUAUGCUAAUUACUGUGAUGAAAAAUACUCCCUGGGGCCCCUCGUUGUGAAACGUCCCCCAAUUAUUCAUGAUUGAAAGAUGCACCACACUUGAGGAAGAGAAGGAAGAAAAUGGCGAGGAGACACUCAAGAAGCAAAAACUUAUGAACUAUACCCGAAAUCUCUUUUCAUGCUAUUGCUGGUGCCGAACAUCCCCAAACCUCCGAUUGUGGGAAGUUGAAGAACAAAAGCCCUUUUUUAAAUGGUGCUGAUUGACGGGGGCAGUACCACAAUUUCAUCGAUCAACAACUGCCUUCUCGUUUGGCGCUAUCGAUUUGUCCGGGAUAAGAAGCUACAAGUGGUGUUGCAAAUACGGAAAGGAUUGAAUCACUGGCCAAUGUCAAGACUCACGCUCUUAUCCAAGGUACAACUAUCACUGCUGACUAUUACGUUCUUCCAACGUGGCAGCUUGUUAAGCAUUUUGGGCGUACAUGGCUGGAGACACUCGGCCAUCGGAUGGAUUACAGCGCUCACUAUUUCCUUCCGUGUAAGGGAAAAACUCAUACCCUCCACGGACUUGGACGCACUGCGGAGGGUGCCGCAUCGGGGGGAAGUUCUGAAUGCAAAAUGUGUGGGUUUGGGCAGGGAACGUGGUUCCUUCUUUCAGAUGUUCCCGCCCCAAACCCAGUCAUCCGUUCAACCGUACCCACAGGAGAUCAAGACCUUCUGGAGGAAUUCUCUAAGUCUUUGAAUCCCACAAGCAUUCCUCCCAAACGAUUCCAUGACCCCCGAAUUCUGCUCCAAUCAGAUGCUAACCUUGACGUGCGGCCCUACCAAUAUUCCUACUACCAAAAUCAGAACUUGAGAAUAUGGUCCAAGGAGCUCCUGCUGACAGGACUUAUCGAAGUAACAGCCCUUUUUCUUCUCCGGUUUAUUAGUAAAGGCUGAUGGACUUGGCGAAUUUUGUGGUUGACUAUCGGCUCUCAACAAGAUUCACGGUGAAAGAAUCAGUAAUCCCAUCCCGUAAUUGAUGAAUUACUUGACGACUUCAUGGUGCCAGUUUUAUUCGAAGUUAGACUGCGAUCUGGUACCACCAAAUCCGAGUGGCAUGAAGAAGAUAUUCAGAAGACGUCAUUUCGAACUCAUGAGGGCAUUACGAGUUUGUAGUCAUGCCGUUCGGACCUCACCAAUGCUCAGGCAACCUUUCAUGCCUCAUGAAUGACCUCUUUUUUUUUUUCCCCCGACCAUCCUUCUGAGUUUUAUCCUGGUAUUCUUUUGACGACUAUUGGUUUAUGCAAAAUCUUGGAAGAUCACCUCUCUCAUUUACAGACUGUCUUCACUAUUUUACAAUCUAACCAAGUUGGUUUGCCAAGGAAUCAAAAAGCAUUUUUGGGAGUCCACGGUCAAAUAUUUAGGGCAUAUUAUCGCUGAAGGGGCAGUGUCAGUAGAUUUCCUGACAAUGUGCAAGCAGUGGUGGUUGGCCAACUCCCCCACGGCCAAGAGUGCGAGGCUUCCUUGGUCCUUGCGGCUACUAUAGAAAAUUUAUCCGUCAUUCUUCGGCAGUCAAUAGCAGCCCCACUACCCAAGCUCU